UACGAAGGGGGCUAGCGUUGUUCGGAAUUACUGGGCGUAAAGGGCGCGUAGGCGGCGUGUCAAGUCAGGCGUGAAAGCCCCGGGCUCAACCUGGGAACCGCGCUUGAGACUGGCAUGCUCGAGUUCGGGAGAGGAUGGUGGAAUUCCCAGUGUAGAGGUGAAAUUCGUAGAUAUUGGGAAGAACACCGAUGGCGAAGGCGGCCUUCUGGACAGCGACUGACGCUGAGACGCGAAAGCGUGGGGAGCAAACAGG
rnacentral:rRNA from 1 species